GAAACGCUGGCGGCGUGCUUAAACACAUGCAAAGUCGAAAACGGAGUUAAAUUUGAGGAAAGCAAAGCUUGCUUGAAGAGUUAAAUUAACUUAGUGGCGGACGGGCGAGUAACACGUGAGCAACCUGCCUCUUACAGGGGAAUAACAACGGGAAACCGUUGCUAAUACCGCAUAACAUGUUGAAAGGGCAUCCUUUAACAUCAAAGGAGCAAUCCGGUAAGAGAUGGGCUCGCGUCCGAUUAGCUAGUUGGUAGGGUAACGGCCCUACCCAAGGCGACGAUCGGUAGCCGGACUGAGAGGUCGAACGGCCGCAUUGGGACUGAGACACGGCCCCAGACUCCUACGGGAGGCAGCAGUGGGGAAUAUUGGGCAAUGGGCGAAAGCCUGACCCCAGCAACGCCGCGUGAGUGAUGAAGGCCUUCGGGUUGUAAAACUCUUUGGACAGGGACGAAGAAAGUGACGGUACCUGUAGAACAAGCCACGGCUAACUACGUGCCAGCAGCCGCGGUAAU
rnacentral:rRNA from 1 species